AUCAUGGAGAGUUUGAUCCUGGCUCAGAACGAACGCUGGCGGAGCGUCUUAAGCAUGCAAGUCGAGCGGUAAGUUGUAGCUUGCUAUAACCUAGAGCGGCGGACUGGUGAGUAACGCGUGGGUGACGUACCCUUUUGACGGGGAUAGCCUGUGGAAACACAGGGUAAUACCGGAUAAGCUCAUAUGUGUCAGAGGC
rnacentral:rRNA from 1 species